GUCGGCGUGGUCACCAUUCAACCGCAAGCCUAUACCCUGACCACCGAGCUGCCAGGCCGCACCACGGCCUUUCGCAUUGCGGAAGUUCGGCCGCAGGUCAACGGCAUCAUUCUCAAGCGCCUGUUCAAGGAAGGCGCCGACGUGAAGGAAGGGCAACAGCUCUACCAGAUCGA
rnacentral:ncRNA from 1 species